rnacentral:misc_RNA from 1 species
CAAAAAGGAAGGUUUUGGGGUUACCUCCGCCUGUUCAUCUCCAGUUCCAAGUUGUCCAAACUGAUUCCCACCAAAAGCAUAUACACGGCCAUUUGCAGUGAUACAAACAGUAUGCCAUAGUCCAGCAGCAACUCUUUCUACUUGAAUUUCCGAUAAAGAAAGCACACAAGUAGGCCUCAGCUGAUCAUUUGUGCUUCCUUGCCCACACUGUCCAUAGAGUCCCCAUCCAAAUGUAAAUAGUGCUCCUGUUACUACAGCACUAUGGCGACCUCC